rnacentral:snoRNA from 1 species
UAAUUUUUUUAAAAGAAGGACAAAACCCAUUCCUUUCUAUUGAGCCACUCAAAAAUGACCUGGAGAGACGCUGACAGCAGAGGUAAGUAUAAUACCUGUUGCUGCCCAUUCCCUUCUCCUGCACUU